AAAGAAAUCAACCGAGAUUCCCCCAGUAGCGGCGAGCGAACGGGGAGCAGCCCAGAGCCUGAAUCAGUGUGUGUGUUAGUGGAAGCGUCUGGAAAGGCGCGCGAUACAGGGUGACAGCCCCGUACACAAAAAUGCACAUGCUGUGAGCUCGAUGAGUAGGGCGGGACACGUGGUAUCCUGUCUGAAUAUGGGGGGACCAUCCUCCAAGGCUAAAUACUCCUGACUGACCGAUAGUGAACCAGUACCGUGAGGGAAAGGCGAAAAGAACCCCGGCGAGGGGAGUGAAAAAGAACCUGAAACCGUGUACGUACAAGCAGUGGGAGCCUCUUUUAUGGGGUGACUGCGUACCUUUUGUAUAAUGGGUCAGCGACUUAUAUUCUGUAGCAAGGUUAACCGAAUAGGGGAGCCGAAGGGAAACCGAGUCUUAACUGGGCGUUAAGUUGCAGGGUAUAGACCCGAAACCCGGUGAUCUAGCCAUGGGCAGGUUGAAGGUUGGGUAACACUAACUGGAGGACCGAACCGACUAAUGUUGAAAAAUUAGCGGAUGACUUGUGGCUGGGGGUGAAAGGCCAAUCAAACCGGGAGAUAGCUGGUUCUCCCCGAAAGCUAUUUAGGUAGCGCCUCGUGAAUUCAUCUCCGGGGGUAGAGCACUGUUUCGGCAAGGGGGUCAUCCCGACUUACCAACCCGAUGCAAACUGCGAAUACCGGAGAAUGUUAUCACGGGAGACACACGGCGGGUGCUAACGUCCGUCGUGAAGAGGGAAACAACCCAGACCGCCAGCUAAGGUCCCAAAGUCAUGGUUAAGUGGGAAACGAUGUGGGAAGGCCCAGACAGCCAGGAUGUUGGCUUAGAAGCAGCCAUCAUUUAAAGAAAGCGUAAUAGCUCACUGGUCGAGUCGGCCUGCGCGGAAGAUGUAACGGGGCUAAACCAUGCACCGAAGCUGCGGCAGCGACGCUUAUGCGUUGUUGGGUAGGGGAGCGUUCUGUAAGCCUGUGAAGGUGUGCUGUGAGGCAUGCUGGAGGUAUCAGAAGUGCGAAUGCUGACAUAAGUAACGAUAAAGCGGGUGAAAAGCCCGCUCGCCGGAAGACCAAGGGUUCCUGUCCAACGUUAAUCGGGGCAGGGUGAGUCGACCCCUAAGGCGAGGCCGAAAGGCGUAGUCGAUGGGAAACAGGUUAAUAUUCCUGUACUUGGUGUUACUGCGAAGGGGGGACGGAGAAGGCUAUGUUGGCCGGGCGACGGUUGUCCCGGUUUAAGCGUGUAGGCUGGUUUUCCAGGCAAAUCCGGAAAAUCAAGGCUGAGGCGUGAUGACGAGGCACUACGGUGCUGAAGCAACAAAUGCCCUGCUUCCAGGAAAAGCCUCUAAGCAUCAGGUAACAUCAAAUCGUACCCCAAACCGACACAGGUGGUCAGGUAGAGAAUACCAAGGCGCUUGAGAGAACUCGGGUGAAGGAACUAGGCAAAAUGGUGCCGUAACUUCGGGAGAAGGCACGCUGAUAUGUAGGUGAAGCGACUUGCUCGUGGAGCUGAAAUCAGUCGAAGAUACCAGCUGGCUGCAACUGUUUAUUAAAAACACAGCACUGUGCAAACACGAAAGUGGACGUAUACGGUGUGACGCCUGCCCGGUGCCGGAAGGUUAAUUGAUGGGGUCAGCGCAAGCGAAGCUCUUGAUCGAAGCCCCGGUAAACGGCGGCCGUAACUAUAACGGUCCUAAGGUAGCGAAAUUCCUUGUCGGGUAAGUUCCGACCUGCACGAAUGGCGUAAUGAUGGCCAGGCUGUCUCCACCCGAGACUCAGUGAAAUUGAACUCGCUGUGAAGAUGCAGUGUACCCGCGGCAAGACGGAAAGACCCCGUGAACCUUUACUAUAGCUUGACACUGAACAUUGAGCCUUGAUGUGUAGGAUAGGUGGGAGGCUUUGAAGUGUGGACGCCAGUCUGCAUGGAGCCGACCUUGAAAUACCACCCUUUAAUGUUUGAUGUUCUAACGUUGACCCGUAAUCCGGGUUGCGGACAGUGUCUGGUGGGUAGUUUGACUGGGGCGGUCUCCUCCUAAAGAGUAACGGAGGAGCACGAAGGUUGGCUAAUCCUGGUCGGACAUCAGGAGGUUAGUGCAAUGGCAUAAGCCAGCUUGACUGCGAGCGUGACGGCGCGAGCAGGUGCGAAAGCAGGUCAUAGUGAUCCGGUGGUUCUGAAUGGAAGGGCCAUCGCUCAACGGAUAAAAGGUACUCCGGGGAUAACAGGCUGAUACCGCCCAAGAGUUCAUAUCGACGGCGGUGUUUGGCACCUCGAUGUCGGCUCAUCACAUCCUGGGGCUGAAGUAGGUCCCAAGGGUAUGGCUGUUCGCCAUUUAAAGUGGUACGCGAGCUGGGUUUAGAACGUCGUGAGACAGUUCGGUCCCUAUCUGCCGUGGGCGCUGGAGAACUGAGGGGGGCUGCUCCUAGUACGAGAGGACCGGAGUGGACGCAUCACUGGUGUUCGGGUUGUCAUGCCAAUGGCACUGCCCGGUAGCUAAAUGCGGAAGAGAUAAGUGCUGAAAGCAUCUAAGCACGAAACUUGCCCCGAGAUGAGUUCUCCCUGACUCCUUGAGAGUCCUGAAGGAACGUUGAAGACGACGACGUUGAUAGGCCGGGUGUGUAAGCGCAGCGAUGCGUUGAGCUAACCGGUACUAAUGAACCGUGAG
rnacentral:rRNA from 1 species